GGACGGCGGCACAUCCAGCCCGGGAGGCGACUGGCUAGGAAAUGAAACUGCUAGUAUUGCGAAACCCAGAUCCCCUUUCGUUUUGGUGUUCACUACUCUUACGGCCCUCCUCAAAAACUAAAAGGGUUUAUAAACCUGUUUCUUGAUGAUUAAUAGGGAGCAUCAAUCAUGGUACUACACAAUGACAUGCAGAUUAUUCUAGUAUUUGAGCCUACAUUAAAUGAGGUUCUUAGCUUGCACUAAGGAAGAAAUUCUCAUUUGAAUGGAUGUGUGAAGUUGAGUGUUUUGUUUUGGAUUCAAAAUUAAGAUGUGUUAUAGAACUAUAACUUACAAGAGGAAAUGUAGUUUUUCACAUCAAAGUCUCUACUAAAAAGUAAGAAACCAUCUCUGGGCCAGGCGCGGUGGCUCACGCCUAUAAUCCCCGCACUUUGGGAGGCCGAGGCGGGUGGAUCACAAGGUCAAGAGAUCGAGAUCAUCCUGGUCAACAAGGUGAAACCCCGUCUCUACUAAAAAUACAAAAAGUUAGCUGGGCAUGGUGGCGCGUGCCUGUAAUCCCAGCUACUCAGGAGGCUGAGGCAGGAGAAUUGCCUGAACCCAGGAGGCGGAGGUUGCGGUGAGCCGAGAUCGUGCCAUUGCACUCCAGCCUGGGUAACAAGAGCGAAACUCCGUCUCAAAAAAAAAAAAAAAAAGAAAGAAAGAAACCAUCUCUGGACUAAUACAGAACAAUGAUGACUUCCUCCCUUUCAUGUACAUGUGUUUAUAUGUAAUAAUUUAUGUAAUAGAUGCAUACAAUAAGCAAACCUACAAGUAAAUAUCUAGAAUAACUAAAUAAUUCAUAUUAGUUUAUUUUAAGUGAAUUCAUUUCAGGGUUAUCUUGUCUCUUCUAUUAGAUCGUCAAUUAUUUAAAAGUUAGAACUACCGUACAUUUAAAUAAAAGUUGUAGCUCCCAAUAGCAUCAUUCAUUCUUUUGGUGUUCAAUUAAGAUGACAGUGCUGAUGAAAAAUGGAGAUGGUGAGAAGUAAGAAGAAAACAAGAUAGCUGGGUGCACUAGUGUGUACCUGUAGUCCCAGCUGUUCGGGAGACUGAGGCAAAUGGACCUUUUGAGCCCAGAAGUUGAAGCCCAGUACCAGCAACCUAGGAA